CAAAGAAUAGUUUAGUGUUAGAACUUUAGCUUUGGGGGCUAGAGGUGGGGAUUUAAGUCCCUCUUCUUUGA
rnacentral:tRNA from 1 species